UACGAAGGGUGCAAGCGUUACUCGGAAUUACUGGGCGUAAAGCGUGCGUAGGUGGUUCGUUAAGUCUGAUGUGAAAGCCCUGGGCUCAACCUGGGAAUGGCAUUGGAAACUGGCGACCUAGAGUGCGGUAGAGGGUAAUGGAAUUCCCGGUGUAGCAGUGAAAUGCGUAGAGAUCGGGAGGAACAUCUGUGGCGAAGGCGACUACCUGGACCAGCACUGACACUGAGGCACGAAAGCGUGGGGAGCAAACAGG
rnacentral:rRNA from 1 species